AUAAUUCUGGCCUACAAGCAGAGCUGUGAAAAGCACGUGAAACCAAACCCAAAGGCUCUUGAUCAAUUAAAGCAAAUUACUUGUGUUACUGACAGAGCCAGGUGUUUUGACCUGUCAGGUGAGCAGUUAGAUUAUUGCUCCUGUGAAUCUCUUGAAGAGAUCCUGAAAUCAGUCCAAUUUGAUUUUAUCAGUGUGCAGGGGGCUGAGCUUGAGGAAAAUGUAAGUAUAUGAACAUUUGCAUUUAAGGCUGUUUUCAAACUUUGGUUCAAUUGCUGGGUCACGUGAAUUUUCAAGUUUUAUGAACUGC